rnacentral:rRNA from 1 species
UGAAUACGAGAUGCUACGGCGUCGAAGCAGUCUAUGUCAUACUUCCAAGAAAAGCUUGCACUGUCAUAAACAAAUAAUGCCUGUACCAUAACCGACACAGGUGGGUAGGUAGAGUAUACUAAGGGGCGCGAGAUAACUCUCUCUAAGGAACUCGGCAAAAUGACUCCGUAACUUCGGGAGAAGGAGUGCCUUAUUUUAUAAGGUUGCAAUAACAAGAUCCAAGCAACUGUUUACCAAAAACACAGGUCUCCGCUAAGUCGUAAGACGAUGUAUGGGGGCUGACGCCUGCCAGUGCCAGAAGGUUAAAGAAGUUGGUUAGCAUCCGCGAAGCUGAUAACUGAAGCCCUGGUGAACGGCGGCCGUAACAAUAACGGUCCUAAGGUAGCGAAAUUCCUUGUCGGGUAAGUUCCGACCCGCACGAAAGGCGUAAUGAUUUGGAUACUGUCUCAGAGAGGGGCUCGGUGAAAUAGACUUGUCUGUGAAGAUGCGGACUACCUGCACCAGGACAGAAAGACCCUAUGAAGCUUUACUGUAACUUGAAAUUGAAAUUGGACUUUACUUGCGCAGUAUAGGUGGGAGGCGUUGAGAAUAUUCUUGCGGGAAUGUUGGAGCCAUCAGUGAGAUACCACUCUUGUAAUGUUAGAUUUCUAACUUUGUAUCAUUAUCUGGUCAAAGGACAGUUUCAGGCGGGCAGUUUGACUGGGGCGGUCGCCUCCCAAACGGUAACGGAGGCGCACAAAGGUUUCCUCUGAACGGGUAGAAAUCGUAUCUAGAGUGUAAAGGCAUAAGGAAGCUUGACUGUGAGACCUACAAGUCGAGCAGGGACGAAAGUCGGUCUUAGUGAUCUGACGGUGCUGAGUGGAAAGGCCGUCACUCAACGGAUAAAAGUUACUCUAAGGAUAACAGGCUGAUCUCCCCCAAGAGUUCACAUCGACGGGGAGGUUUGGCACCUCGAUGUCGGCCCAUCGCAUCCUGGGGCGGUAGUACGUCCCAAGGGUUGGGCUGUUCGCCCAUGAAAGCGGUACGCGAGCUGGGUUCAGAACGUCGUGAGACAGUUCGGUCCAUAUCCGGUGUAGGCGUUAGAAUAUUGAGAGGAGCCUUCUUUAGUACGAGAGGACCGAGAAGGACAUACCUCUGGUGUACCAGUUAUCGUGCCAACGGUAAACGCUGGGUAGCUAUGUAUGGAGUGGAUAACCGCUGAAAGCAUCUAAGUGGGAAGCCCACCUCAAGAUAAGUAUUCU